UCGAGCGGGCAUCCUUGUGUUGUCACCGGCGGACGGGUGAUUAACCCGUGGGAACUUGCCUUCUGGUUCGAAAUACCUCAGGGAAACUUGACCUAUUACCGGAUCCCCCCUUUUUGGGGAAGGGUUUACUGCCAGAAGAUCCGCCCGCGUCUGAUUAGCUAGUUGGGGGGGUAACGGCCUACCAGGGCGACUAUCAAUAGCGGGUCAGAGAGGAUGAUCACCCACACUGGGACAGACACACCGCCCACACUCCUAGGGGAGGCAGCAGUGGGGAAUAUUGGACAAUGGGCGCACGCCUGAUCCACCCAUGCCGCGUGAGUGAUGAACGCCUUAGGGUUGUAAAUCUCUUUUAUCCGGGAAGAUAAUGACGGUACCGGAAGAAUACCCCCCGGCUAACUUCGUGCCAACCCCCGCGGUAAUACGAGGGGGGCUAGCUUUGCUCAAAAUCACUGGGCAUAAAGGGCGCGUAGGCGGUCUUUUAUGUGGGGGGUGAAAGCCUGUGGCUCACCCACAAAAUUGCCUUCUAUACUGGGACACUUGAGUUCGAAAGAGGUUGGUGGAACUGCGAGUGUAGAUGUGAAAUUCAUAUAUAUUCGCAAGAACACCGGUGGCGAGCGCCGCCAACUGGUCCCACACUGACUCUGACGCGCGAAAGCGUGGGGAGCAAACGAGAUUAUAUACCCUGGUACUCCACCCCAUAAACGAUGAAUGCCACCCGUUGGGGGGCUUGCCUCUCAGUGGCGCAUCUAACUCUUUGAGCAUUCCGCCUGGAGAGUACGGUCGCAAGAUUAACACUCAAAUGAAUUGACGGGCGCCC
rnacentral:rRNA from 1 species